rnacentral:rRNA from 1 species
CUACGGGAGGCUGCAGUGGGGAAUAUUGCACAAUGGGCGCAAGCCUGAUGCAGCAACGCCGCGUGAGUGAAGAAGGUCUUCGGAUCGUAAAACUCUGUCCUAUGGGAAGAAAAAAAUGACGGUACCAUGGGAGGAAGCCCCGGCUAACUACGUGCCAGCAGCCGCGGUAAUACGUAGGGGGCAAGCGUUAUCCGGAAUCACUGGGCGUAAAGGGUGCGUAGGCGGCUUGUCAAGCCAGAGGUGAAAGGCAUUGGCUCAACCAAUGUAAGCCUUUGGAACUGACGAGCUUGAGUACAGGAGAGGUAAGUGGAAUUCCUAGUGUAGAGGUGAAAUUCGUAGAUAUUAGGAGGAACACCAGUGGCGAAGGCGACUUACUGGACUGUAACUGACGCUGAGGCACGAAAGCGUGGGUAGCGAACAGGAUUAGAUACCCUCGUAGUC